GACGAACGCUGGCGGCGUGCUUAACACAUGCAAGUCGAACGAUGAAGCCCGGCUUGCUGGGUGGAAGAGUGGCGAACGGGUGAGUAACACGUGAGUAACCUGCUCUGAACUCUGGGAUAAGCACUGGAAACGGUGUCUAAUACUGGAUACGACCUAUCACCGCAUGGUGUGUGGGUGGAAAGAUUUAUCGGUUCUGGAUGGACUCGCGGCCUAUCAGCUAGAUGGUGAGGUAAUGGCUCACCAUGGCGACGACGGGUAGCCGGCCUGAGAGGGUGACCGGCCACACUGGGACUGAGACACGGCCCAGACUCCUACGGGAGGCAGCAGUGGGGAAUAUUGCACAAUGGGCGCAAGCCUGAUGCAGCAACGCCGCGUGAGGGAUGACGGCCUUCGGGUUGUAAACCUCUUUUAGUAGGGAAGAAGCGAAAGUGACGGUACCUGCAGAAAAAGCACCGGCUAACUACGUG
rnacentral:rRNA from 1 species